GUAAAAAAUUGUAUUUAAGAAAUUUUAACUUCACUGAGUUGGAUGCAAAAAUAUGAAAAUUAAGGUUGAAUAUCAAAACGAAUUUUUCCACGAAAAAAAUCUAACAAAAUUUA